AGAAGGAAACAGAGCCAAAGUCGACUUGCCAGUCACCAUUAUCAGUUUUAAAUUCUUUGGUAAAAUCGGCAAGUCAUCUUUGGCUCAUUAUCAUUCUCU
rfam:Brassica napus, WGS project CCCW01000000 data, contig: 12976